rnacentral:rRNA from 1 species
CAGCCGCCGCGGUAAUGCGUAGGUGGCAAGUGUUGUCCGGAAUUAUUGGGCGUAAAGGGCUCGCAGGCGGUUUCUUAAGUCUGAUGUGAAAGCCCCCGGCUCAACCGGGGAGGGUCAUUGGAAACUGGGAAACUUGAAUGCAGAAGAGGAGAGUGGAAUUCCACGUGUAGCGGUGAAAUGCGUAGAGAUGUGGAGGAACACCAGUGGCGAAGGCGACUCUCUGGUCUGUAACUGACGCUGAGGUGCGAAAGCGUGGGGAGCAAACAGGAUUAGAUACCCCAGUAGUCCCUGUCUCUUAUAC